CACGUAGGGGGCGAGCGUUGUCCGGAUUUAUUGGGCGUAAAGAGCUCGUAGGCGGUUCAGCAAGUCGGGUGUGAAACCCCCAGGCUCAACCUGGGGACGCCACCCGAUACUGCUGUGACUCGAGUCCGGUAGGGGAGCGUGGAAUUCCUGGUGUAGCGGUGAAAUGCGCAGAUAUCAGGAGGAACACCAGCGGCGAAGGCGGCGCUCUGGGCCGGAACUGACGCUGAGGAGCGAAAGCGUGGGUAGCAAACAGG
rnacentral:rRNA from 1 species